AUGACACAUCCACUCUGCCAUACAACUCAGACCAAGAAGGUGCAAAGCUUAUCUAAACGCUCUGCCCAGAGUGCUUUACUGGAAGAAGAUAUGGCUGCCAACCAGAAGCCUGGAUUCUAGAACAUUCUGUACUCCAGUCUCAUCUAGGGGAUCAUUCAAGUCUCUGAAGGCCUGCUCCCUCCUCCAGCCCAGAGGGAGUAGAAGUAGGCAGAAGUGAUCCUGGAGCUUCAGUCCCUGCCAAGCUGGGAUGUUACUGUGGAAAGAAGGCCCUCUCCCUGGAGGCUCUGUGAUCAGAACCCAGGCUUUUUCUCCAGUCACUUCCAGGGUCAGUUUGAUAGUGACAAUCUGAAAGAACCGGCCGUGGGUGGAUCAACUCCAAGUCUGACACAGGCAAUGGCUUCCUGCUGCUCACAGAGAAACGUCCCUAUGAGAUGACAUCAGGGAAGCCCUGAACGUUGUUGGGUAACAGAUUGAGAGCAAGGGUCAGAGGAAGACAGAGCUUGCUUCUGUAGCAAGCUGCAGCCUGUGCCAUGGCACAAGCACCUCCUGAUGUGCAACACGGCUCCUCAUUCCUGACCUCAUCAGAGGGGGAGCCCAGCCUUGCUCCAGCUUGUUUCUCAGCAGGGUGACAUCACCACCAUUCUUGAAGGCAGCUUUCUUGUGCUGUGCUGGGUUCUGUCAACACAACCAUCCCUGCCUGUGAUUUUAGUCAGUUUUGUGUGGCUGAAGAAAUCCCAAACUGAUCUUUUCCAAUGACUUUCUAAUGCAUGAUUUAAAAAAAAAUAAAAACGUGUUCUCAGGUA